rnacentral:misc_RNA from 1 species
GAAAUGCGAUAACUAGUGUGAAUUGCAGAAUUCCGUGAAUCAUCGAGUCUUUGAACGCACAUUGCGCCCCCUGGUAUUCCGGGGGGCAUGCCUGUCCGAGCGUCAUUGCUGCCCAUCAAGCACGGCUUGUGUGUUGGGUCGUCGUCCCCUCUCCGGGGGGGACGGGCCCCAAAGGCAGCGGCGGCACCGCGUCCGAUCCUCGAGCGUAUGGGGCUUUGUCACCCGCUCUGUAGGCCCGGCCGGCGCUUGCCGAACGCAAAUCAAUCUUUUUCCAGGUUGACCUCGGAUCAGGUAGGAAUACCCGCUGAACUUAAGC